CGAAAGCGUGGGGAGCAAACAGGAUUAGAUACCCUGGUAGUCCACGCCGUAAACGAUGUCUACUAGCCGUUGGGACUCUUGAAGUCUUAGUGGCGCAGCUAACGCACUAAGUAGACCGCCUGGGGAGUACGGCCGCAAGGUUAAAACUCAAAUGAAUUGACGGGGGCCCGCACAAGCGGUGGAGCAUGUGGUUUAAUUCGACGCAACGCGAAGAACCUUACCUGGCCUUGACAUGCAGAGAACUUUCCAGAGAUGGAUUGGUGCCUUCGGGAACUCUGACACAGGUGCUGCAUGGCCGUCGUCAGCUCGUGUCGUGAGAUGUUGGGUUAAGUCCCGUAACGAGCGCAACCCCUAUCCCUAGUUGCUAGCAGUUCGGCUGAGAACUCUAGGGAGACUGCCGGUGACAAACCGGAGGAAGGUGGGGAUGACGUCAGGUCAUCAUGGCCCUUACGGCCAGGGCUACACACGUGCUACAAUGGUGCGCACAGAGGGCUGCAAACCCGCGAGGGGGAGCCAAUCUCACAAAACGCAUCGUAGUCCGGAUCGCAGUCUGCAACUCGACUGCGUGAAGUCGGAAUCGCUAGUAAUCGUGAAUCAGAAUGUCACGGUGAAUACGUUCCCGGGCCUUGUACACACCGCCCGUCACACCAUGGGAGUGGAUUGCACCAGAAGUGGUUAGUCUAACCUUCGGGAGGACGAUCACCACGGUGUGGUUCAUGACUGGGGUGAAGUCGGAACAAGGUAGCCGUACUGGAAGGUGCGGCUGGAUCACCUCCU
rnacentral:rRNA from 1 species